rnacentral:rRNA from 1 species
UUCUGGUUGAUCCUGCCGGACCUGACUGCUAUCGGAUUGAUACUAAGCCAUGCGAGUCUUUGCAGUAAUGCAAGGCAUACGGCUCAGUAACACGUAGUCAACUUACCCUAUGGACGAGGAUAAUCUCGGGAAACUGAGCAUAAUACUCGAUAGAUCAUAAUGCCUGGAAUGGUUUAUGGUUGAAAUGAUUCGUCGCCAUAGGAUGGGACUGCGGCCUAUCAGCUUGUUGGUGAGGUAAUGGCCCACCAAGGCGAUUACAGGUACGGGCUCUGAGAGGAGAAGCCCGGAGAUGGGUACUGAGACAAGGACCCAGGCCCUAUGGGGCGCAGCAGGCGAGAAAACUUUGCAAUGUGCGAAAGCACGACAAGGUUAAUCCGAGUGAUUUCUGCUAAAGAAAUCUUUUGCAAGUCAUAAAACCACUAGUGAAUAAGGGGUGGGCAAGUUCUGGUGUCAGCCGCCGCGGUAAAACCAGCACCUCAAGUGGUCAGGAGGAUUAUUGGGCCUAAAGCAUCCGUAGCCGGCUCUGUAAGUUUUCGGUUAAAUCCAUGUGCUCAACGCAUGGGCUGCCGAAAAUACUGCAUAGCUAGGGAGUGGGAGAGGUAGACGGUACUCGGUAGGAAGGGGUAAAAUCCUUUGAUCUAUCGAUGACCA